CCUACGGGUGGCAGCAGUGAGGAAUAUUGGUCAAUGGGCGCGAGCCUGAACCAGCCAAGUCGCGUGAGGGAAGACGGUCCUAUGGAUUGUAAACCUCUUUUGUCGGGGAGCAAAAGACGCCACGCGUGGCGUUCCGAGAGUACCCGACGAAAAAGCAUCGGCUAACUCCGUGCCCGCAGCCGCGGUAAUACGGAGGAUGCGAGCGUUAUCCGGAUUGAGUGGGUUUAAAGGGUGCGCAGGCGGACGAUCAAGUCAGCGGUAAAAUUGAGAGGCUCAACCUCUUCGAGCCGUUGAAACUGGUUUUCUUGAGUGAGCGAGAAGUAUGCGGAAUGCGUGGUGUAGCGGUGAAAUGCAUAGAUAUCACGCAGAACUCCGAUUGCGAAGGCAGCAUACCGGCGCUCAACUGACGCUCAUGCACGAAAGUGUGGGUAUCGAACAGGAUUAGAUACCCCUGUAGUC
rnacentral:rRNA from 1 species